UACGAGGGGGGCGAGCGUUGUUCGGAAUUAUUGGGCGUAAAGGGUGCGUAGGCGGUUUGGUAAGUCUUGUGUGAAAUCUACAGGCUCAACUUGUAGUCUGCACGAGAAACUGCCGGGCUUGAGUAUGGGAGAGGUGAGUGGAAUUCCUGGUGUAGCGGUGAAAUGCGUAGAUAUCAGGAGGAACACCGAUGGCGAAGGCAGGUCUCUGGGCAUUAACUGACGCUGAGGAGCGAAAGCAUGGGGAGCGAACAGG
rnacentral:rRNA from 1 species